rnacentral:rRNA from 1 species
UACGUAGGGGGCAAGCGUUGUCCGGAAUCAUUGGGCGUAAAGCGCGUGUAGGCGGUCCGGUAAGUCCGCUGUGAAAGUCCAGGGCUCAACCCUGGGAUGCGGGUGGAUACUGCCGGGCUCGAGUCCGGAAGAGGCGAGUGGAAUUCCCGGUGUAGCGGUGAAAUGCGCAGAUAUCGGGAGGAACACCAAUGGCGAAGGCAGCUCGCUGGGACGUGACUGACGCUGAGACGCGAAAGCG